rnacentral:lncRNA from 1 species
GUAUGUGUGACUGGCUAAUAAUUCUAUUGCGUAGAUAAUGAGGUGGCCAGUAGCACUGGGAAUUAGCUGGGCUUGUGAGACAGACUUCCUUCAAAAUCUAAUUCUAGAAAAAGAAGAAUGGCACAAAUGUUAUGGGAGUAACCGAGCACUUUUCGUUCAGAUUUAAGACCCAUUUCAAGAGAUGGAACCAAUAACUGACACUUCUAAUGUGGUCAAGAACCUGGGACUAGAACCUGGAAGCAGCCUAGAUGCCCCCUCAACCGAAGAAUGGAUAGAGAAAAUGUGGCACAUUUACACAAUGGAGUACUACUCAGCAGAAAAAAACAAUGGAAUCUUGAAAUUUGUAGACAAAUGGAUGAAACUAGAAGAAACCAUUCUGAUCGAGAGCCUUCAUCCAGCAGCUGAUGGAAGUAGAAGCAGACA